GUCCCCGUAGCUCAGUGGAUAGAGCAACCGCCUCCUAAGCGGUAGGUCGCAGGUUCAACUCCUGCCUGGGACG
rnacentral:tRNA from 1 species